AUAGCAUCUGGAUUUUUCAGAAAGAGACACUUUUCUGAUCCUGCUGUUUGCUCCAUUGGUAAUUGUGGAAAGUUGGAUACUACAGACGAGAUACCAGUGGCGCUCAUCAUCACUCCUGUUAGGAUUCCAUCUACUGUGCUGCACGAGUACCUCAAGAAAGCAAUUGAUUUUUGGAAUCAGUGUGCUGAGGCAAACUUUGACCAUAUCCCAUGGGGGCAGCUUUCGGAUGUUGCAAGAAAACCCAUAACCCCCUAAAAGAUGUAAGGGGACAACUCAUUGACCUGACAAAGGACUUUGAACUAAUUUCUGAAAACACUGGACUUUUGGUUGAAGACCCCUCUGUUGGUGAGGGGCAUUUAGAGCUUAAACCCAAACCUUAUGGGUCAGACACUGACAGUGAUACAGACAUUGAAUAUGAACGAGGCAAACACGCUUAAUUUGCUUUAAUUACUUUAAUAAAAUGUUUAUAGUUCAUCUUC
rnacentral:tmRNA from 1 species